CCUACGGGAGGCAGCAGUGGGGGGUAUUGCGCAAUGGGCGGAAGCCUGACGCAGCGACGCCGCGUGAGGGACGGAGGCCUUCGGGUUGUGAACCUCUUUCGCCGGUGGAGAAGGCGCCCCCGUUUGUGGGGUGUUGACUGUAGCCGGAUAAGAAGCGCCGGCUAACUACGUGCCAGCAGCCGCGGUAAUACGUAGGGCGCGAGCGUUGUCCGGAGUUACUGGGCGUAAAGGGCUUGUAGGCGGCUGGUCGCGUCUGCCGUGAAAUCCCCUGGCUCAACUGGGGGCGUGCGGUGGGUACGGGCCGGCUUGAGGGCGGUAGGGGAGGCUGGAACUCCUGGUGUAGCGGUGGAAUGCGCAGAUAUCAGGAAGAACACCGGUGGCGAAGGCGGGUCUCUGGGCCGUUACUGACGCUGAGGAGCGAGAGCGUGGGGAGCGAACAGGAUUAGAUACCCCAGUAGUC
rnacentral:rRNA from 1 species